GUCAGAGAGGGAGAGAGAGACAGACAGAUAGAGACAGAGACAGAGACUGAGUCAGAGAGGGAGAGAGAGAGAGAAAGGCAGAGAGACAGAGACAGAGUCAGAGAGGGAGAGAGACAGAGAGAGAGGGAGACAGACAGACAGACAGAGUCAGAGAGGGAGAGAGAAAGAGAGACAGACAGAGUCAGAGAGGAAGAGAGAGAAAGAGAGAGAGACAGAAUCAGAGUCAGACAGAGAAAGGAGAGAGACAGAGACAGUCAGAGAGGGAGAGAGACAGAGAGAGAGAGGGAGACAGACAGACAGUCAGUCAGAGAGGGAGAGAGAGAAAGAGAGACAGACAGACAGACAGAGUCAGAGAGGGAGAGAGAGAGAAAGAGAGACAGAAUCAGAGUCAGACAGAGAAAGGAGAGAGACAGAGACGGAGAAAGGAGAGAGAGAGGAGAGAAAGGGAGAGAGAGGGAGGGAGAGAGAGAGAAAGACAGAGAGACAGAGAGAGACAGAGAGGGAGAGAGAGAGAGAGAGAGGGAGACAGACAGACAGUCAGUCAGAGAGGGAGAGAGAGAAAGAGAGACAGAAUCAGAGUCAGACGGAGAAAAGGAGAGAGACGGGGACGGAGAAAGGAAAGAGGGUGGAGAGAAAGGGGGGAGAGCGGGAGUGACAGAGAGAGAUAAACAGAGAGACAGACAGAGACAGAGAGGGAGAGAGAGAGAGAGAGAGGGAGACAUACAGACAGUCAGUCAGAGAGGGAGAGAGAGAAAGAGAGACAGACAGACAGACAGAGUCAGAGAGGGAGAGAGAGAGAAAGAGAGACAGAAUCAGAGUCAGACAGAGAAAGGAGAGAGACAGAGACGGAGAAAGGAGAGAGAGAGGAGAGAAAGGGAGAGAGAGGGAGGGAGAAAGAGAGAAAGACAGAGAGACAGACAGAGACAGAGAGGGAGAGAGAGAGAGAGAGAGAGGGAGACAGACAGACAGAGUCAGAGAGGGAGAAAAGGGGCUCUUGGUGCUAUGAGAUGGCCUUAG
rnacentral:lncRNA from 1 species